UUAUAAGAUGAUUUAUAAUUCUCUUGACUUAAGACAUGGCAUCAGUGGACCAGAUACAUGUUGUGUACUUGAAUGCAGCAAAUAACAACUGCCCAGUUCAGGAAAGUAAAAGCAUUUGAAUUUUA